rnacentral:tRNA from 1 species
GGUAAUAUGUCUGAUUAAAGUAAUAAAUUGUAAAUUUAUUUAAGGAUAAAAUUCCUAUUACCA